rnacentral:lncRNA from 1 species
GGUUCUGGCAUUGUUUAGAACAGUAGCAUCGAAGUUACACUCGUAAUAAAUUGGCUAUUUUUAGCGAAAACAAAAUCAUUUAAUUGAAGUGAUUAACACCAGUGUUUAAGUGAACAAACAGGCUUCUGAUUACCAAAAAGGAAGAAGAAGAAAAAAAAGGAAAGGAAAAGUACAAGAAAGGAAAAGAUGAAAAAGAGAAAAAAAAAAAGAAACGAGAAGAAGAAAGAAAAGAGCUGCUUACACAUUUUUUACUGAUAAUUUAAUAGUAGAGCUUUAAUUUUCUUUUUGAAAGUAAUAGGAGAUAAAUUACAAUUAAAAAAUUUUAUAUUUAUUAAUAAGUGAUGGAGCGAUAUAACAAAAUAUUUUCUUAAAGAUUUGCUUAUUAUGCUGGGGAAUUCUAAGUAAGGUUGUAGGUCUCAAGUUUCUUCGGUGCAUUUCACUACUGAAGUUUAAUUUAUUAUACAGAUACUUGGGCGUUUUUGUUUUAAUUAUCUUGUAUGUAAAGUUUAGCGAGUGUAAAGUUCGCCUGUUGAACAUGUUUAACCAACCAAGAUCAAGAAGUUUAUGAGAAACCCUCUGACGUCUGCGUAUUCCAAAAAUAAAUCUAAGACAAGAA